GGAUAAUGUGGAUGGGCAUUAUAGCUUUAGUCAGGGUGCAUUCUCCCUACCACAGGCCAGAUAAUUGGGAUCUUAAUUGUUUAUCCCCACACAACCAAUAUAUGUCCCCAACUGUUUUGACAUGAUUCACCAAUAACGUCAUGGGUGGGUCGUGGUAGGCAGAACAAUAGCCGGAUGGGAACUUGCCCAUGAACUUACCAGUGUUU